rnacentral:lncRNA from 1 species
GCCACUUAAUAUAAUGAAAUAAAUUGGACUUCCUGCUUAGGACUUAAAUCAAAAGCCUAUUUCAAUUAAUCAAUUUUAUUUAUGAGCCCAAAUUAGAGGUCUAAAAGUGACUAAUAAAUCAACCCCAAAUCUCAAUCUCUCUCUUAAAAGUUGACAUACAUAAAACCCUCACUCACUCUUCUUCUUCUUCUCCCCCUUUCUCUCUCAACCUCUCGCCCUCCUCCUCUCCCUCUCUGAUUCCGACGCCGUCGCCACCUCCGGCGAAUAGCCACCGCAAUCGCCGCUGCUACGCCUGCCAUCUCCUGCUCCAGCCCGGCGUCUCCCUUCAUCUUCUCCCUCCCUCGUUUCCACGGCCGAGCAGCGCCAGGAGCGGCGCCGCUCACAGAUCCCCUGCCAUAGCCGCUGCCCCCUGUUCCCCAUUCGUCGGCCACCGUGGCGCAAGCAGCGCCCGACGGCGCCGUCCAGCCGCCUCCCUCUCUUCACCGGCUAUUCAGCAUACCUUCACCCAAUUUUCCCUCAUCACCACUCUACUUCCAUAUUUCUAAUUUCAGUUUAAUUAUUUUAGAUUGGAUAAAUUUAUAUAUCAAAUCUGAUAUUUGGGUUUUCGUAUCAUAAUUUAUGGUGGAAGCUUGUUGGUUUUGUUUCUCUGCAUAAAGGAAAAAUAGAAGGAAAUAUUUGCUGUAUUGAAAUCAGAUCAUGGAAGAAUAGAGUUUUACCUCUGCAGUGAAAGGAAAGAACUUGAUUUUCUUGCUGGAUAAGUUUACGAUUGUAAAUUUCAGAUAUAGAAAAAGGAUGAAAUAAGAUAUAGAUAGGUGAUUGAAUCUGAUAUAUAUGUAUGGCGGUGAGGAAUCGGGAUAAGAGAGGAGUAUGGCGGUUGUGGUUGGAUAAUUGAGAUUUGUUGCAGACUUUUAUUUUAGAAUGCAACAGUGAAGAUAAAUAAUGAAAUCCUUGAUAUACUUGGGUUACUAUUUUCAAAAAAAUAAUUUGGAUUACUAAAAUGAAUAAAAAAAAGACUCACGGUUAAAUGAAAUAAAUGGCUGAAAUGUGGAUGAUGAGAAGGAGCACAUAUCUAUCUCAUCUCAGGUUUAGAAUCAAUUAAAAUUAAUAUUCACAAUUUACAUGAAAAUCAUGAGCUUCUCAUUUAACUCUAAUCCAAUGACAAUAGAAAAUAAAUAAAGCCCGAAAAU